AUUCCAGCUCCAGUAGCGUAUAUUAAAGUUGUUGCAGUUAAAAAGCUCGUAGUUGAACUUUGGGUCUGGUUGGCCGGUCCGAUUUUAUGUCGCGCACUGGUUUUCAACCGGAUCUUUCCUUCUGGCUAACCUGUACUCCUUGUGGGUGCAGGCGAACCAGGACCUUUACUUUGAAAAAAUUAGAGUGUUCAAAGCAGGCGAAAGCUCGAAUAUAUUAGCAUGGAAUAAUGGAAUAGGACGUUUGGUUCUAUUUUGUUGGUUUCUAGGACCAUCGUAAUGAUUAAUAGGGACGGUCGGGGCAUCAGUAUUCAAUUGUCAGAGGUGAAAUUCUUGGAUUUAUUGAAGACUAACUACUGCGAAAGCAUUUGCCAAGGACGUUUUCAUUA
rnacentral:rRNA from 1 species